CCGUAGGCGGAUCUGUAAGUCAGUGGUGAAAUCUCACAGCUUAACUGUGAAACUGCCAUUGAUACUGCAGGUCUUGAGUAAAUUUGAAGUGGCUGGAAUAAGUAGUGUAGCGGUGAAAUGCAUAGAUAUUACUUAGAACACCAAUUGCGAAGGCAGGUCACUAAGAUUUAACUGACGCUGAUGGACGAAAGCGUGGGGAGCGAACAGGAUUAGAUACCCUGGUAGUCCACGCCGUAAACGAUGCUAACUCGUUUUUGGGGUUUCGGCUUCAGAGACUAAGCGAAAGUGAUAAGUUAGCCACCUGGGGAGUACGUUCGCAAGAAUGAAACUCAAAGGAAUUGACGGGGGCCCGCACAAGCGGUGGAUUAUGUGGUUUAAUUCGAUGAUACGCGAGGAACCUUACCAAGACUUAAAUGGGAAUUGACAGAUUUAGAAAUAGAUCUUUCUUCGGACAAUUUUCAAGGUGCUGCAUGGUUGUCGUCAGCUCGUGCCGUGAGGUGUUAGGUUAAGUCCUGCAACGAGCGCAACCCCUGUCACUAGUUGCUACCAUUCAGUUGAGGACUCUAGUGAGACUGCCUACGCAAGUAGAGAGGAAGGUGGGGAUGACGUCAAAUCAUCACGGCCCUUACGUCUUGGGCCACACACGUAAUACAAUGGCCGGUACAGAGGGCAGCUACACAGCGAUGUGAUGCAAAUCUCGAAAGCCGGUCUCAGUUCGGAUUGGAGUCUGCAACUCGACUCUAUGAAGCUGGAAUCGCUAGUAAUCGCGCAUCAGCCAUGGCGCGGUGAAUACGUUCCCGGGCCUUGUACACACCGCCCGUCAAGCCAUGGAAGUCUGGGGUACCUGAAGUCGGUGACCG
rnacentral:rRNA from 1 species